rnacentral:lncRNA from 1 species
CCCGCAGGCGCUGCUCGUUCAGCUCCAGCAGCAGCGCCCGGCAGUGCCCGGCGUCCGACACCUCCACGACCGGAGCCAUCCCCGCGCCGGCCACCUGCGGGGGGGACACGGGCGCCGCGAUUUGGGGUCACCCCGGUCCUUCCUGGGUGGCCGGAGGGACAACGGGGUUCCCUUUUUGGGGUCACCAAGCGUGGCUGAAUCCUUUAUUUGGUGGCACGUGGGUGGGUGGGGGCCCUACCUGGGGUCACCUGGGCCCUGGUUCACUAUUUGGGGUCACCUGGGUCCCUUAUCUGGGGUCACCUGGGCCCUGAUUCACUAUUUGGGGUCAUCCAGACCCCUGGCUCACUAUUUGGGGUCACCUGGAUCCCAUAUUUGGGGUUACCCAGACCCCUGGCUCACUAUUUGGGGUCACCCGAGUUCCUUAUUUGGGGUCACUGCGACCCCCGGUUCACCAUUUGGGGUCACCUGGUUCCUCUCUGUGGGGCACGCAGAUACCUUGGUCCCAUAUUUGGGGUCACCCAAACCUCUUGUUCACUAUUUGGGGUCACCUGGGUUCCUUAUUUGGGGUCACCCAGACCCCUGGUUCGCUUUUUGGGGUCACUGAGACCCCUGGACCCCAUAUUUGGGGUCACCCAGACGCCUGGUUCGCUUUUUGGGGUCAUCUCAGUCCCUUAUUUUGGGUUUCCUGUCCCUUGGUUCGCUAUUUGGGGUCACCUGGGUCCUUAUUUGGGGUCACUGACACCCCUGGAUCCCAUAUUUGGGGUCACCCAAAGAUCUUCACCAUUUGGGGUCACCUGGGUCCCAUAUCUGGGGUCACCCCAACACCUUGUUCAUGAUUUGGGGUCACCUGGGUCCCAUAUUUGGGGUCACCCAGAGCCCUCGGGGUCACCCGUGUCCCUUCUCUGGGUGGGGUUCCCCGAUUCUGUGGGUCAGAAUCCCUCGGUUCUGUGGGGUGGGGGGUCCUGGAAUUCUCUGGAGCUGUGGGGUCUUGACCGGGGGUCCCCCGGAUCACUCCGGGUUUGGGGUUCCUGGGGGUCCCGGUGGGGUUUUGGGGUUCCUCUAUCCCCUGUCUUGAGGGUCACUCUGGAGUUUUGGGGUCACUCCGGGGUUUUGGGUCCCCCCUGUUGCCUGUCUGGGGGGUCCCUGUGGGGUUUUGGGGUCCCUGUGGGG